rnacentral:rRNA from 1 species
CCUACGGGGGGCAGCAGUAGGGAAUCUUCCGCAAUGGACGAAAGUCUGACGGAGCAACGCCGCGUGAGCGAAGAAGGUCUUCGGAUCGUAAAGCUCUGUUGUCGGGGAAGAACAAGUACGGCAGGAAAUGGCCGUACCUUGACGGUACCCGACGAGAAAGCCCCGGCUAACUAUUUGCCGGGAGCCGCGGUAAUACGUAGGUGGCAAGCGUUGUCCGGAUUUAUUGGGCGUAAAGCGCACGCAGGCGGUCCUUUAAGUCUGAUGUGAAAUCUUGCGGGUCAACCGCAAGCGGUCAUUGGAAACUGGGGGACUUGGGUGCAGAAGAGGAGAGCGGAAAUGCACGUGUAGGUGUGAAAUGCGUAGAGAUGUGGAGGAACACCAGUGGCGAGGUCGGCUUUCUGGUCUGUAACUGACGCUGAGGCGCGAAAGCGUGGGGAGCAAACAGGCUUAGAUACCCGUGUGGAC